UAUUCCCUUGUUUUUGCUACCAGUUUAGGUAUACCUUGGUAAUCCGCGAAAACCCGUCUAGCCUCCCUCUGCGUCCUGCUGACUAGCAGACGGAUAUACGCAGCAGGGCUUGGGGUGCGCGAACGCACAUGCCGGAUAGCAGCGACUUCGCGACGAGGUCACGUGAUAGAGCCGAGUCACGUGGGGCUCCGCUCAUGGUGGAUAAAAGGUGUGCCUCGCCGUGCACUUCUCUCCUUCCCGCUGUCAUUCUCCUUUGAUAUCGCACACGGUGAUUGCCACGAGCGUUAUGGCUCGGCGGAAGCAGUGUAAAGUUUAUCUCUUCUGCCGACCCAGCAAUGCACCUAAUUGGAUCCAACGCAUCGUACCGUUGCCUUCGAAGCAGCUUCAGCACUGGGUUGUCUACUUUAUUUUCACUGACGGGACCGUUCUGGAGUGUGAGGGACAGGAACACACUACCACUCAGAAAAUCCUGGGGAAUGCAAGGCUGACAAGUUACAGCGAUGUAGAGCCUCUCCUAAAAUACAUGAAACUAUUGAAGGAUGGUGCUUGUACCUCGAAAGAAGAAAUCAGAGAAGUGGUGGACGACAUGAACAAGAAUAGCGAGAAGUAUGACACUCUCCACAACAACUGCCAGCAGUGGGUCAAAAUGCUGCUCAGAAGGCUGGAAAUACAUGUGUCUGCCAUCGAUGCAAAACAAGCCGCUGUCAUUGCAGGUGCUACAGGUUUAGGAGCCUCCGGUGCAAUUCUAGCCGUACUUGGAACUGGAGCUGUGGGUGCAGGUGCAGCUCCUGCUGUGGGUGUUGCAGCUGUUGCUACAGGCGCAGUUGCAUCUGUAGGUCUAGCAGCAACCCUUUUCAGAAGUCGAUAAUAAUAAGAAUAAAGACCUUCAGGGUGG